rnacentral:lncRNA from 1 species
UACAGUCAGAGCUCAGACAUAAACAAGUCGAUUUCUGUUUUUGACUUAAAGAAGUCAAAACAUGUAUUUAUUAUAAAAAUGUGUUUUCAAUUUUAGACAUAUCUAAGUCACAAAAUGACAGACUUGUUUAGGUCUAUUUAUGUUGAUGAAAAAACUUAAUUUGACUUGGUGGCUAAAGUACACCACCUAUGACAGCAAAAACCUGUCUAAUAGUUCACAAGGACUUGAGCUAUCUAUAUUUAAUUAUCUUAUUGAACAUCCUUAUUAAACACAGAUGUUUUACCUCAUUAAGUGUGGAUCCAGGUGGUUGCAUUGUAAGGUUAAUUAGCAUUAUCCCCGAUUUUUUAGACUCUCAUUCAUAUUUUUCUUUAGAAGACAAAGCAUUGGCUUUCAAUGUUGUCUUUAUUUGAUUUAGAUGCAUGACCUUUUUAUAAAUAUGCGUGGGUCUUGAAGUUAACCAAUUUUGGUAACUUAUCGACUUGUAGGAGUCUAUAUUUGCAACUUUUGGAUUCUGGUCAAUCAUUUCUUGCUUAACAAUAUUUGACUUAUUGAAGUCGUAUUUUGUCUUGCAUUUAAGGGAGACAAAUCCUAAAACUCACAAAUUUAGACCUCUAUGAGUCAAAAGCAGAUUCAGACUUAUUUAUG